CAAUCACAAAGCAGAGGAAAAUGUUGCAAGUUGGAUGGCAGUCUGCUCGUCGCUGGGUGGCGAAGUGGUCGGCUCUUAAGAACGUCGGACAGGAAGCCGAUCAUGUUCACUGCUGCCUGAAGA